rnacentral:rRNA from 1 species
GGGUGGUAAUGCCGGAUGCUCCAUCACACUGCAUGGUGUGUUGGGAAAGCCUUUGCGGCAUGGGAUGGGGUCGCGUCCUAUCAGCUUGAUGGCGGGGUAACGGCCCACCAUGGCUUCGACGGGUAGCCGGCCUGAGAGGGCGACCGGCCACAUUGGGACUGAGAUACGGCCCAGACUCCUACGGGAGGCAGCAGUGGGGAAUAUUGCACAAUGGGCGCAAGCCUGAUGCAGCGACGCCGCGUGAGGGAUGGAGGCCUUCGGGUUGUAAACCUCUUUUGUUAGGGAGCAAGGCAUUUUGUGUUGAGUGUACCUUUCGAAUAAGCACCGGCUAACUACGUGCCAGCAGCCGCGGUAAUACGUAGGGUGCAAGCGUUAUCCGGAAUUAUUGGGCGUAAAGGGCUCGUAGGCGGUUCGUCGCGUCCGGUGUGAAAGUCCAUCGCUUAACGGUGGAUCCGCGCCGGGUACGGGCGGGCUUGAGUGCGGUAGGGGAGACUGGAAUUCCCGGUGUAACGGUGGAAUGUGUAGAUAU